rnacentral:misc_RNA from 1 species
GAAAUGCGAUAAGUAGUGUGAAUUGCAGAAUUCAGUGAAUCAUCGAAUCUUUGAACGCACAUUGCGCCCCUUGGUAUUCCAUGGGGCAUGCCUGUUCGAGCGUCAUUUGUACCCUCAAGCUCUGCUUUGUGUUGGGUGUUUGUCCCCGUCUCCGCGCGUGGACUCGCCCCAAAGUGAUUGGCAGCCGGCGUACUGGUCCCGGAGCGCAGCACAUGUCGCGCAAACGAGUGCCUUGGUACGGCGGCGUCCAUAAGCCCCUCUCUCACGCUCUUGACCUCGGAUCAGGUAGGGAUACCCGCUGAACUUAAGC